rnacentral:rRNA from 1 species
CACAGCCAUACACCACCCAGAACAUGCACCAGUCUUGUCUGAUCUCAGAAGCUAAGCGGGGUCAAGCCUGGUUAGUACUUGGAUGGGAGAAUCCUUUGGCUAGGCUAGAUGAUGGUGGUGC